AGAGUUUGAUCAUGGCUCAGAUUGAACGCUGGCGGCAGGCCUAACACAUGCAAGUCGAACGGUAACAUUUCUAGCUUGCUAGAAAAUUACCAGUGGCGGACGGGUGAGUUAUGCUUGGGAACUUGCCUUUGCGAGGGGGAUAACAGUUGGAAACGACUGCUAAUACCGCAUAAUGUCUUCGGACCAAACUGGGCUUCGGCUCCGGCGCAAAGAGAGGCCCAAGUGAAGAUUAUCUUGUUGGUAAGGUAAC
rnacentral:rRNA from 1 species